rnacentral:rRNA from 1 species
GAAACGACUGCUAAGACUGGAUAGGAGACAAGAAGGCAUCUUCUUGUUUUUAAAAGACCUAGCAAUAGGUAUGCUUAGGGAGGAGCUUGCGUCACAUUAGUUAGUUGGUGGGGUAAAGGCCUACCAAGACUAUGAUGUGUAGCCGGGCUGAGAGGUUGAACGGCCACAUUGGGACUGAGACACGGCCCAAACUCCUACGGGAGGCAGCAGUAGGGAAUUUUCGGCAAUGGAGGAAACUCUGACCGAGCAACGCCGCGUGAACGAUGAAGUAUUUCGGUACGUAAAGUUCUUUUAUUAGGGAAGAAUAAAUGAUGGAAAAAUCAUUCUGACGGUACCUAAUGAAUAAGCCCCGGCUAACUAUGUGCCAGCAGCCGCGGUAAUACAUAGGGGGCAAGCGUUAUCCGGAAUUAUUGGGCGUAAAGGGUGCGUAGGCGGUUAAAUAAGUUUAUGGUCUAAGUGCAAUGCUCAACAUUGUGAUGCUAUAAAAACUGUUUAGCUAGAGUAAGUUAGAGGCAAGUGGAAUUCCAUGUGUAGUGGUAAAAUGCGUAAAUAUAUGGAGGAACACCAGUAGCGAAGGCGGCUUGCUGGGUCUUUACUGACGCUGAGGCACGAAAGCGUGGGGAGCAAACAGGAUUAGAUACCCCUGGUAGUCCACGCCGUAAACGAUGAGUACUAAACGUUGGGUAAAACCAGUGUUGAAGUUAACACAUUAAGUACUCCGCCUGAGUAGUACGUACGCAAGUAUGAAACUUAAAGGAAUUGACGGGACUCCGCACAAGCGGUGGAUCAUGUUGUUUAAUUCGAAGGUACCCGAAAAACCUCACCAGGUCUUGACAUGCUUCUGCAAAGCUGUAGAAACACAGUGGAGGUUAUCAGUUGCACAGGUGGUGCAUGGUUGUCGUCAGCUCGUGUCGUGAGAUGUUGGGUUAAGUCCCGCAACGAGCGCAACCCUUAUUGUUAGUUACCAGCACGUAAUGGUGGGGACUUUAGCAAGACUGCCAGUGAUAAAUUGGAGGAAGGUGGGGACGACGUCAAAUCAUCAUGCCCCUUAUGACCUGGGCUACAAACGUGAUACAAUGGCUGUUACAAAGGGUAGCUGAAGCGCAAGUUUUUGGCGAAUCUCAAAAAAACAGUCUCAGUUCGGAUUGAAGUCUGCAACUCGACUUCAUGAAGUUGGAAUCGCUAGUAAUCGCGAAUCAACAUGUCGCGAUGAAUACGUUCUCGGGGUUUGUACACACCGCCCGUCA